rnacentral:misc_RNA from 1 species
UUUCCGUAGGUGAACCUGCGGAAGGAUCAUUAUCGGAUUUUGAAACUUCAGGCUGCUGCUGGCUCUCCUCGGAGGGCAUGUGCACGCUUGUUGUCCAUUAUUUCUCCCACUGUGCACAAAUUGUAGACCUUUCAGUAGGCCUAUGUUGUUUUUCACAAUCUCUGAAUGUAAUAGAAUGGUUUUGAAUCUUGGGAAAUACAAUACAACUUUCAGCAACGGAUCUCUUGGCUCUC